rnacentral:rRNA from 1 species
CCUACGGGGGGCAGCAGUAGGGAAUAUUGGACAAUGGGCGAAAGCCUGAUCCAGCAAUGCCGCGUGAGUGAUGAAGGCCUUAGGGUUGUAAAGCUCUUUUACCCGGGAUGAUAAUGACAGUACCGGGAGAAUAAGCUCCGGCUAACUCCGUGCCAGCAGCCGCGGUAAUACGGAGGGAGCUAGCGUUGUUCGGAAUUACUGGGCGUAAAGCGCACGUAGGCGGCUAUUCAAGUCAGAGGUGAAAGCCCGGGGCUCAACCCCGGAACUGCCUUUGAAACUAGAUAGCUUGAAUCCAGGAGAGGUGAGUGGAAUUCCGAGUGUAGAGGUGAAAUUCGUAGAUAUUCGGAAGAACACCAGUGGCGAAGGCGGCUCACUGGACUGGUAUUGACGCUGAGGUGCGAAAGCGUGGGGAGCAAACAGGAUUAGAUACCCGGGUAGUC